GCGCCUAAAGCACCGGGCUUUUAACCCGGGGGUCGGGGGUUCAAUUCCCCCCGGGCCCG
rnacentral:tRNA from 1 species